rnacentral:misc_RNA from 1 species
GAACAAAACAAACUGACACGAUGAGAUUUCAGAAACCAAAUUUAUUAAAAAAAAAAAAAAGAAAAGAAAAGAAAAAGACAGUGAAAGAAAAACACGAAAAAAGAUGUUGUGCAGUGACAGGUGCGAUUAAAUAAUGAACAAUGUUCGAUUGGUAAGUAAAGCCAACAGCUACCGAACAACGGACUCAUGGAUGAAUUAUACGACCUGACUUGAACAUUUUCUUUAACCCCAUUUAUAAUUUGUCCGUGGAUUGUGUAUACUUUGAGGGCAGCUGUUAUAAGCUUGCCAAUUUUCUUUUUAUCUCUUAUUCAUAUUAUUUGUCUGUCUAAAAACUUGAGAGAAUACUUUCGUAUCCAUUCCUGAUACAGUUGAGUGCUGGACUAAUUUUUAAAAUGUUAGUUCUCUGCCUGUUUUCAGUUCUAAACUUUACGGCAACAUAGUAGUCUUAUUACUGUAUUACCAUGUUUUGUAAAGGAAGUAAAAACAACAAACGGCCUUGUGCCUAGUAUAAAAAAAAAAUUUUCUGCAUAUUGUUAUCGAGAGUAUAGUCUGCUGUGGGCGUGGUGCAAGAUACAAAGGAAAACAAAAAAAAAAGAACCUUGGUGAUUUGUCUUUUUUUUUUUUCGUAUUUCUUUAUAGAUUUAUUCCCUCUAAGCCAGCUCAACAAUUUUGAUAACGAAGUGUUUAAUCGAAGGUUAAAGGUCUCGUCCUCAACCACGAAGGCAAUGACGAGCGAGUGAAUUUAAGAGCAGUCUAUAUGGAGUAAAUUUAUAUUAAAGAGUGGAAUGUACAAUUUCUUGUAAUUCUGAUUGCUUCAUUGUCCCAGUAGACAAAAAUGAAAAGGGCGUUGCACCGGAGGAUGGCCAGGGAGAGAAAUUAUUCAGCAGCAAGUGGUGUUUUUUUGGAAAGUUGUCCCUUGAAGCCCCAACCCUAACUGAGAAAGGAAAAGUUUUUGUUUUCGUCUAAUUGAGAUUCUGACUAAAAGAAAAAAAAUUGUGGAAAUUUCUUUUUUAUAUAUAUAUAUAUAUAUAUUUUGCCUUCUAAAUUUUGUUCUCCGUGAGGAAUGGGAGUUCGAAGGAUAGCUAUUUCAAAACUCUGCUGAUUAUUAUUUAUUCAAAUUCUUUCGGGGGUUGUUAAACAAGUACCAGCUUGAUAAUCCGCCAGUCCCUAAAUCGAAAUUUCAGGCCUUGUGCCUAGACAAGAUAAUAUUUGCACCGGUUGGACGUGGGUCGCCCUGCUUAAAAGUUUCUGUUUGUGUCUUCAAAAGUUGUUAGUUAUUUAAACUUUGUUUUAAAACAAUACUUGUGAAAGCCACCAGCAUUGCAUAAAUCUGUUUGUUUAUUUGUUUGUGCUCCUUUGCGGACUUUAAUUUGAAAAGAAGAAAUGUUUUAUUUUGAGAAAAAACAAUUCUUUCACAUCCACCUGCCAUUUCUCGGUGCCCUGGAAGACGGAAAAGAAGUGAGAGGUAACAUUAAUAGAGAGAUGCAGGCAACAUAGUCGUUUGUUGUUGUCCUGAAAGUGGGAAGUGAACUUUCACAAAAGUUCAAAUUCAAAUCGAGUAAAUUACAACAACAAACAGCAGCAGAGCGGCGGUGACACGACGACAUAGCAACACGUUCGAACUAGGAAAUUGACUUAAUGCGAACAUUGGCACCGAACUCAUCGACCAACGAAACCCAAAUCAACAUUAUUACCACCGUCAUGACCAACGUAGAGAACUGAAACAACAGCUGUUCUUAUUUCUAAACAAAAUGGGAACGAUUUCACAUAAGCGUGUUUCGUCUGGAGAAAGUUCACGCUUCAGGAAAAACGUUAAGUGAUAUCAAAGGGAGAACAAUGUUUCUGAAUCCACCAAAGGAAAUACAAGAUUAAAAAAAAAAUGUAUUUCAUCAAAGACCAGAAGACCAGAGCUUUCGAUGCAGGCCCAGAUUGAAAUAUUCCUGAGAUCAGUAUGGGAGAUGAAAACUUAUGUCAUCUAUGGGCGAUGCUUUGGCGCUGAAAUUCCCAACUGAAGAAUUGCUACUAAUUCCAACAUACCUCAGUCAGAGGAUGGUGAAAAAAUAGUAGCGGUAUCACCAGAAGCGAACAUCUUUGCUUGUGGCAGCCAUAUUAUACGGUAUUAGAGAAUAAAAUAAUGAUUCUCUAAGUGCAUAAAAUGGGAAAGGAAUUAUCAAUAGAGACCAACCAAGAACUAUUGAUGAUCUGAUCAAUGUCCCUAAUGGUGCACAGCUGUUCAUAACAGUUGAGGACAGAAAGCCGAGAUGGUACAUUUGUGGUGAGACAAACCACUUAAAGGCUUUCUGCCCUAUGCAAAGAAAAGGAAAAUCCCAGCUGCUGCCGACAUCUUCAGCAUUAAAAGCAGCAGCAACAGCAGAGAUCUAUUGAUAUACCACAUCCAAGAAAAAUCACCCAUUGCAACCAAAUGAAGCCUCACCUAGACCAGUUGACAAAUCCACAAGCUUAGAAAUGUGCAAGGGUACCUCGCUGUGAAAACUUGUCUAGCAAGGAAUUGAUCCUGGUGAAAGUGGGGGUGGGGAGAAAAGAAAAAUGAAAAAAAAUUAGAGAAGACACAGAAAACAACAAACCAUCACAUAUCCACAUGCUCUACACCAACAUAACUAGAAACAUUUCCUGCACUAGAAACACCACCAUUACAAACACCCAAGCAAAUGAAAACGCCUAGCAAUUCACACCAACAACACAAGCAGCACUCUCAAGGCGUCAUCAGCUACACAGACUUGAUAAAACACUUUCAAAACUAUACAGACAUUACUCUAAACCAGUCCAUCACAUUUUCAACACUCCUUGAAAAUUAUAAGAACACUAAUAAACUGAAAACAAAAUAUCCCAAAGGCAUGGGAGAUUUCUGUGUGGCCAUAAAUAAGACUGAACAACAAAGAAAUGCUUGUGGAGAGCCCCACAAAUGUCUAGGACAACACUUGUCUCUCAACAGAAAUAGGAAUGUGAUUGACCCCAUGGCACAUUCUCUGCCAAGCUUGGAGAAACGUGUUCAAUGUGUGAGAUUACUUGCUAAAAUGGAUAACAUUACUGCAGUGUGCAGAGUAAUGGAAGCAACUUAUGGGCCACCAGCAUCUAUGAAAAAGACUUUUGCUAGGAUUAACAAGUCAUUUGAUGAAACAGGUAAUGUUGUGAACCGAAAAAGACCAGGAUGACUAAGAUCUGUUUGAACAAAUGAAAAUAAAGAACACUUGAGAACAAAAAUCCUAGUCAUCAGGACAUUUAUCAGAUCCAAACAUUUCAAGGACUUCUUUAAGAUGCUUGCUCCAUAAUACGAAUCUGUAUCCUUAAAUCCCUUGUUUGAUUCAUGGAUUAAUGGAGGAUGAUCCAGAUUGUCGCUUGCAGUUCUGCAAACUGCAAGAUGACCCAACAUUGGAAGAACAUAUUUUCUGGACUGACAUGUCAAAAUUUUACGUUUCAGGGUCUGUUGUUUGGCAUACAUGAAAUCCACAAAUCACGAAUGAGUAUGACCACAAGAGUUCUGGCAUAAUGGUGUAGGCAGGUGUGAGUUACAACAGACACAUGGGGGCCAUUGUUUAUAGAAGGUGGCGUAAAUGAGGUCUCGUAUCUGAAACUUUUACAAAACCAAGUUCUCCCUAAGUUAAAAGAACAAGAAGGCUUUAAAGAAUUAUGGUGGCAGCAGGGGGUACUCCCCAACAUUAUUCACUGGCUGUCCAUGACUGGCAGAAUGAAAUUUUCCUUGAUUGUUGGAUUGGGAAGUGAGAGCCUAUCGAGUGGUCAGCUUGCUCAUCUGAUUUAACACAACCAGGCUUUUUUUUGUGGGAUUAUCUAAAAGACCGUGACUAUCAUCAGAAGAUUAACAGUCUUGAACAUCUUAAACAAGUUAUUAUCCAAGAAUAUGAAACAAUGCUGGUAGACAUGUGUCAUAAAGCAUGUUAAGUGUUUCAAUAUGGUUUCAAACCAGUGUUGCAGCAGAAGGAGGCCCAGUUGGCCAUGAGAUGGAAAACUAAUUUAACUAAACCAUGCGUUCGUUAACUUUGUACGUGAGCAUAUUAAUAAAUAUAUCUAACAUG